rnacentral:piRNA from 1 species
UGCCAGGCAUAAGUUACAGAACUUGAAAAG